GGUUGUCACGCAUGACCUGCGAAAGGAAGAUAAUGUCAAUAUAUGAAUGAAAAAUUGAUCUUUCAAUAAAGCCGCCUCUUACAAUGAAAUCAAGGCGGCGAUACCUUCUUCGUAGUAUCCACUUACGAGAAUUUGGUAUUUCGUCAAGAUUUUAUUAGUAAGAGGUGAUUUCAUUAAAAGAUCGAUCCGCGACUAUCAAUCGAAUGCCCACUUUGUUCCAAAAGUUUCAUACACAAAUGGGGCAUCGAUUUUGAAAAAUUAAUUUGUGGUUUCACUCAUGCAAAGGUGAGGUGAUUUUUAUUUUGAAAAAUCAAUAUACAAAAUGGGAUUUGAAUUUUAAUUUUGAAAUGUGACCAAUAAAGAGUUUUAUUGAAAAUUCGAUUUUAAUUCUAUGCCCCAAAAUGUG
rnacentral:lncRNA from 1 species